rnacentral:lncRNA from 1 species
UCGACUCCAACAGAAAUGAUUUUCAAAGCAAAGCAUAAAAGCUUCGAAAAUAUUGAGCUUUGAGUUUGUGCAUAAUUUAUAAAAACAAGUUAGCACAUAACUAAUCACAUCAAGCGUUGAUAACGAUUUCACAAAUGACAUCCAAAUAUCAAUAGCAUUCCUCAAAUUCCCUGGAGCAUUCAUGAAUCCUCCAAAAAAUGGAUCUAAAGCAGAUAAGUUUAAAAAAUUAAAAUC